GACAGAGGUGCCGAGCGUUAGGCGGAAUCACUGGGCUUAAAGCGUGUGUAGGCGGAUCGUUAAGUGCCUUGUGAAAUCCCACGGCUCAACUGUGGAACUGCUUGGCAUACUGGCGAUCUUGAGCCACUUAGGGGCUACCGGAACAAAUGGUGGAGCGGUGAAAUGCGUAGAUAUCAUUUGGAACGCCAAUGGUGAAAACAGGUAGCUGGGAGUGUGCUGACGCUGAGACACGAAAGCCAGGGGAGCAAACGGG
rnacentral:rRNA from 1 species